GAGAUGAAUAUUAUGAGGCUGUAGACAGUAGGUAUUGAUAAAAAGCGUUAAGCUUGCCUACCGAGGCCGGGGAUUUGCAGCGUGUAGCUAUUAAAUUAGUUAUAAUGCGGCCUCCGGUGUGUUUACACUAGAGGCCGCUUUUUAAUUUUGAUA
rfam:Sporomusa malonica strain DSM 5090 genome assembly, contig: Ga0070592_142